GUGAGCAGUCUCUCACUACCCGGAUCCCUGAAAUGCAUCUGUUGCCUUCCUGCCUGAGCCCCCUCAUCUCGCUUCCCAUGUAGCCAUGACCCUGCCCUUAACCCUCAGCCAUAACCCUCUCGGAUCCGCCUCACCCCACACUCUCACAGUUCCCUCAAAGCUCAGGAGGUUUCCCUUCCACAAUUUAUUAAUUACGCUGGAUUUCACGUGUCCAUCCACCGACCAACCAGAUGCGUAGUGCAUGCCUCCCACGUGUCCAGCACUGAGCUAGGUCCUAGGGGUGGGGGGUGGGGUAGGGUUGCAGGGAAUGAAGCCGGGAAAAUAAAUACAGCAACUGCCCCUGUUCCUAAGGGUCCCCAAGAAGGAGAGCAGUGGGCCGAGCUGCAAAGAGGUAUCCCUAGGACCAGGAGCUGGUGAUCUGAGGGGACCCCAGCCACAGGGUCCUGAGCAGGACAAGGCUGGGGCGUGAGGUUGCCGAAGGGUGUUGGGAUUUUCACGGAAACUUCCGGCCAGUGCUGUCCCACCAGCAACCCCUUGCAUGGGGUGAUAGUGCCCCCUGGUGUUUGAUUCCUGGAACUCUCCCCCAGCUGUUUUGUAAAGCCCAGAGGAUUAAGCACUCCUGAAGAACUUCUAUUUUUGGUUCCCAAUAUUUCCACAGUGAAAUGCUGACAGGAGCACCAGAGGGCUUCCCAAAGGCCCCAGAGGCUGCUGCACUGCUGCGCUCCCGCGUGCUCCAGCUCUCUGUUCCCCAGGGGUCGGAGCUGCUCUUGGUUCUCAGGGGCAGUUUACUGUCCCGUGCAGUCUGGUUGAACGGCCCCAGGGCAGCCACCCUGUGUUCUGUUUGCCGAGCGCGGAGCCUGGCCUCAGCGGAAAGGCUGUGUGCGCAUUCAGAGUGACGUGUUGGAAAGAACACUGGAUCCAGGAUUAGGAAGCUUGGAUGCCCGCCCCACGUCAGCCGCUAACUACCGGUGAAGAAAUCAAGGCACAGAGAGGUUGAAUAACUUCCCCAAGCUCACACAGUGUGUGGCAGAGUCAGGACUUAAGCUUGAGUUUCUGGAUACCGGCUAUGCUACACUGAAUUAUGGAACCUAAAAGAAUGAGAAACUAGUGGUAGGGUCCACAAGUUGGUGUUUUUAAAUGUUCCCCAGGUGAUUGUGAUGUGGAACUGUCUUUGGAAUCUCUGGGCUCCCACAUUUAAUGAGCCCAGGGUCUUGCGAGGGUCAGGAGGUAAAGUUGUGACGAGGGAGAAGCCUGGGUUUGGCUGUAAUCCCCAUGGGUGUACAGGACACAAGCGCAGCAGAAACGCCAUGAAGGGCAGACAGUCCUCCUGCCCGCCGUCCUCUCAAUCUGGAAAUGGUUUGUAGGAGAAGAGACCAGUUGCCUUCCACCACAUCUUCUCAGAGUUUGUUAUGCCACGUCUAUGCCAC
rnacentral:lncRNA from 1 species